rnacentral:lncRNA from 1 species
UUCAAAUUGAAUCGUGCCUCCACUAAUCUCUGUAUCUAUCUGUAUCUAUAUCUGUAUCUAUAUCUGUAUCUAUAUCUGUAUCUAUCUGUAUCUAUAUCUGUAUCUAUAUCUGUAUCUAUCUGUAUCUAUAUCUGUAUUUAUCUGUAUCUAUAUCUAUAUCUGUAUUCAUCUGUAUCUAUAUCUAUAUCUGUAUCUACUGUAUCUAUAUCUGUAUCCAUAUCUGUAUCUGUAUCUAUAUCUGUAUCUAUCUGUAUCUAUCUGUAUCUAUAUCUGUAUCUAUCUGUAUCUAUAUAUAUCUGUACCUAUAUCUGUAUCUAUAUCUAUCUGUAUCUAUAUCUGUAUCUAUAUCUGUAUCUAUCUGUAUCUAUAUCUAUCUGUAUCUAUAUCUAUAUCUGUAUCUAUCUGUAUCCAUAUCUGUAUCUAUAUCUGUAUCUAUAUCUAUAUCUGUAUCUAUCUGUAUCUAUAUCUGUAUCUAUAUCUGUAUCCACUGUAUCU